GAGGAACAAGACAGGUGAAGAAGCUGCGCAAACUGUUGCUACAGAGUAUAAUAGUUAUGUUCAUGUAAUGGGUCUUAUGACAGUAGCUACAGCCUUAUACGAUGAGUACGUGGCUACCACGCGGAAUACUGGACACUCCUCAUAAAUGGAAACUUUUGAAAAUCUCUGAAAGAAAUGGAUAGAGGAGACCGACCAAAUAAUUAGAAAAUUAUAUUCAACUUAAUUCAAAAAUGUAUGUUCGUGUUUGAGUUGCAAUACUUGUAUAAUAAGAGGACCUUCGGAUCCCUUUGUCUUGAGUAUGUGAGUAAUGUUUGAUGAUGAUGGAAAUGCCCUCAGUGAAAUACGAUUUGAUAAGUUUGAGAAAGAUUACAUUAAAAUAGAUCCGAAACCCAGUCAAAUAGGCGAUAACCUUAGCAAUAUUUAAUAGGUACCCACAUCAACAAAACUUGAUUUGAUCCAAACUGUCCCAAACAAAGCUACACUGCAGGCGUACGUAUGGGACCGACUAGUUGCGAUAUCAACGGAUCAAAAAUGCUUACUCGUCAUGUACGUUUCACAUCACAGCGAAGAGAACAGAAACGAACCAAGUAAACAAAACGACUGAACCGAAGGAGAAAAAGAUAAAAGCAUAUUAGGCACACCGAAUUCAGAAGUGCACUACAUGGCCGUUUAACUGAGUAAUCACACACAUGUGCUAAUCGCCUGUAGGCGUUCAAUAUUAAGCGAUAUCUAAACUAUUGUUUGUUUUGUUGUUGCAAUAACUGAAACAUUUGAAAACGUUUCUUCCAUAACAACUUACCUGAACCUGGCAAAACUAGCCGCAAUUGUAAUUUAAUAGCUACAAAACUCUUUGAUUCGAAAGAGCGCUAUCAAAAUGUGAACGAUUUAAAACUUGUUAAAUCUCUUGGGUAUUUAUAAAUUAAAAUUGGUAUCCAUUUACUGGAUGGAAAAACUUUUUAAUAUUAUAUUCUAAAAUCGAAGUGAAUAUACUAGUUAAAAAAUUCUAAACAAAUUAUGUAUUUACUUGUUGGACACUUGACACUGUGUUCGUGUCACUCGCUUACAAAAGAAGAGCUGCUUUAAUUUGGCGUGAUACACCCUCAUCUUAAAAAUCUAAAUAUUAUGUGUCUCAAUUAAAGUCAUCGCCGUUUAUAGGGUGCUGUUGGUGGGCACAAUUUAAAAGCUUGUUUCUUGCUUUCAUCGCUUUAUUAUCUAUCCUCUGUUUGGUUGUUCAUUCUACUCAAGCUUGCACACAUUUUUUGCGUGUGUUGGUUCAUGCAAAUGUAUAAGUCAGGGAUUUAUGUGUUGAUAUUGGUGUGUGCAAAGAUUUUCUGCCCUCCGAUUUCUUUUGUUGAAAUAUAUAUUUUGAUACUUAGAUUAGCGCAAAAGUUAUAAAUUAAAAUAAAAUAGUGAAAUUCUUUUAGACUUAUGUUAACUUAUAAGAUUAUUGUUAUUAAUUAAAAGUACAAUAAUAAUGGAGGUAAUACUUUUGCUUUGUUAUAUUUUUAAUGAAUCUCUCUAUACAUUUAUCGUGGUGUUGGUGCCCUCAUGAGACGUCAACAAAUAAAAAGCUCCACCAGCUGUUUUGCACAACAACAGAGUAUUGGUGCAUUCACCAAAAUUGUAAACAAACGGUCAGUUAGUAUUUGUCAUUGAACAAAGAGCGCCACGUCCGAAACUGAGGCACGAAAGUCUCUUCUGCUCUCCAAUACCAAAGUUAUUGGGUUCUAGUGUGAGUGGAAAUUUGAUUUUGGCUAUGUGUGAAAUCAUUUCUGCAUGAAAGUGUGUGUGAGAUAGAUUGUAUUGUUUUGUAGUUACAUUAUACAUAUUUUAUUUAUUUCUGUAAAAUUCUGGUUUAAAUUUAAACCCAAUUUUAACAAUGACAAAAACACACAAAUAGAAAGAGAAUGCCUGCAACAGCUGUGACAAUACAUGAAAAUUGAUAAAAAGAUGGCUUAUCGCACUGUUAAAGAACGUUUUCAUAAAUGUUUGACUAUAUAUAGAAUAUAUAUAUGUGUAUGUACAUGGUAAUAUAUUUUAUUGAAGAAGCUGCCUGAUGUUUCUUUUUCGUACUAGUGAUAACAGCUAGUGUAUAUUUGUACGACAUGAAAUAAAAAUGCUUUGAACAUUAACUUUACCAUUAGGUUAUUAAGGCGAUGUUUUAAUAUAUACAAUAGAUACUUCACUAAAUAUUAUUGUCAAUUAAAAUGUAAUUCAAUUUCAAUAUUUCUAUAAUAACGCUAUGAAAUGUAUUUCAACUUCAAAAUAAUUAUUUUUUAAUCAAAACAAAAAAAACACGAAAACACAUUUUCAUAUGCUCAUAAAUUAAGACAGAGACAGAGAACAAAUGUAUAGCCCAGGCUAUCACUGCUUUAGUUAAAUCUUACUCCUGCUUUUUCCCUUCUAAACACCUACAUAUCUUUUCAAUCCACCUUUAAAUGACCUCGAUCAACACAUUUAAAUUCCUGAUUAGGGCUUUAACAAUCGCUACACUUAACACUCAUGUGUCAUGUAAUCUACCUAAUUUAGCAAGGUUAAUUGUAUUAAUUAUAUAGAAGAUGUAGUUAAACACAACGACCUUGACAGAACUAAAUAAACAAAAACGACAUCAUUACGAUAAUACCUUAGGGGCUACAUGAGCAAAAACGGCAUAUUUUCAAUAUUUUUUUUAUGUAAAAAAUAUAAUAUUUUAUUCAAACUUUUUAUAAUUUCUAAG